rnacentral:rRNA from 1 species
GAGUCGUUGAUUUCACACUGCCGAGAAAAGCCUCUAGAUAGAAAAUAGGUGCCCGUACCGCAAACCGACACAGGUAGUCAAGAUGAGAAUUCUAAGGUGAGCGAGCGAACUCUCGUUAAGGAACUCGGCAAAAUGACCCCGUAACUUCGGGAGAAGGGGUGCUCUUUAGGGUUAACGCCCAGAAGAGCCGCAGUGAAUAGGCCCAAGCGACUGUUUAUCAAAAACACAGGUCUCUGCUAAACCGUAAGGUGAUGUAUAGGGGCUGACGCCUGCCCGGUGCUGGAAGGUUAAGAGGAGUGGUUAGCUUCUGCGAAGCUACGAAUCGAAGCCCCAGUAAACGGCGGCCGUAACUAUAACGGUCCUAAGGUAGCGAAAUUCCUUGUCGGGUAAGUUCCGACCCGCACGAAAGGCGUAACGAUUUGGGCACUGUCUCAACGAGAGACUCGGUGAAAUCAUAGUACCUGUGAAGAUGCAGGUUACCCGCGACAGGACGGAAAGACCCCGUGGAGCUUUACUGUAGCCUGAUAUUGAAAUUCGGCACAGCUUGUACAGGAUAGGUAGGAGCCUUUGAAACGUGAGCGCUAGCUUACGUGGAGGCGCUGGUGGGAUACUACCCUAGCUGUGUUGGCUUUCUAACCCGCACCACUUAUCGUGGUGGGAGACAGUGUCAGGCGGGCAGUUUGACUGGGGCGGUCGCCUCCUAAAAGGUAACGGAGGCGCUCAAAGGUUCCCUCAGAAUGGUUGGAAAUCAUUCAUAGAGUGUAAAGGCAUAAGGGAGCUUGACUGCGAGACCUACAAGUCGAGCAGGGUCGAAAGACGGACUUAGUGAUCCGGUGGUUCCGCAUGGAAGGGCCAUCGCUCAACGGAUAAAAGCUACCCCGGGGAUAACAGGCUUAUCUCCCCCAAGAGUUCACAUCGACGGGGAGGUUUGGCACCUCGAUGUCGGCUCAUCGCAUCCUGGGGCUGUAGUCGGUCCCAAGGGUUGGGCUGUUCGCCCAUUAAAGCGGUACGCGAGCUGGGUUCAGAACGUCGUGAGACAGUUCGGUCCCUAUCCGUCGUGGGCGUAGGAAAUUUGAGAGGAGCUGUCCUUAGUACGAGAGGACCGGGAUGGACAUACCUCUGGUGUACCAGUUGUCGUGCCAACGGCAUAGCUGGGUAGCUAUGUGUGGACGGGAUAAGUGCUGAAAGCAUCUAAGCAUGAAGCCCCCCUCAAGAUGAGAUUUCCCAACUUCGGUUAUAAGAUCCCUCAAAGAUGA